rnacentral:rRNA from 1 species
CACGGGGAGGUAGUGACGAAAAAUAACGAUACGGGACUCAUCCGAGGCCCCGUAAUCGGAAUGAGUACACUCUAAAUCCUUUCACAAGGAUCAAUUGGAGGGCAAGUCUGGUGCCAGCAGCUGCGGUAAUUCCAGCUCCAAUAGCGUAUAUUAAAGUUGUUGCGGUUAAAAAGCUCGUAGUCGCACUUGUGUCUCUCGCCGCUGGUUCAUCGCUCGUCGGUGUCAACUGGCGUGUCGAGGGACGUCCUGUCGGUGGGAUCCACGGAGAGGCUUGUCUUGAACUCGUCCUUCGUGACCCUAUUGUUCUUCGCCUCGUGCGUUGGGCAAUCUCAUCGCGGUGCUCUUUAUUGAGUGUCGAGGUGGGCCGGCACAUUUACUUUGAACAAAUUAGAGUGCUUAAAGCAGGCCAAAGUUGCCUAAAUAUUCUGUGCAUGGAAUAAUGAAAGAGGACCUCGGUUCUAUUUUGCUGGUUUUACGAAACCUGAGGUAAUGAUGAAUAGAGACGGAUGUGGGCAUUCGUAUUGCAACGUUAGAGGUGAAAUUCUUGGAUCGUUGCAAGACGGACAGAAGCGAAAGCAUUUGCCAAAAACGCUUUCAUUGAUCAAGAACGAAAGUUAGAGGUUCGAAGGCGAUCAGAUACCGCCCUAGUUCUAACCAUAAACAAUGCCAGCUAGCGAUCCGCCGAAGUUCCUCCGAUGACUCGGCGGGCAGCUUCCGGGAAACCAAAGCUUUUGGGUUCCGGGGGAAGUAUGGUUGCAAAGCUGAAACUUAAAGGAAUUGACGGAAGGGCACCACAAGGAGUGGAGCCUGCGGCUUAAUUUGACUCAACACGGGAAACCUUACUAGGCCC